GAAAUCCCUGGGUUUCGGUGCAGUGGGCUGCACGCAAGGGGUGCUUUGUGCAGUUGCCCCUCCAGCCCCAUCAGGGCUCUGCGUGUCGAGGGGUACGGCUGCUGCUCCUGGGGCAGGCACAGUGAGAGGCGAGGAGAAGCAGCCAGCCUCCUCCCGCUGUCAGAUCUGCCCCACAAGCCACCAAUUAGGCUGCUCUGAACUACAGCGUUCAGUUCAAAGGGCUGCUAAUUGUAUUUUAAUGACAAUUUAAAUGAUACUGCUGAUCAUUUCAGAAACAUCCAGAUCACUAAUUACCAGUAGUCUAUGCGGUGCUUUAAGCACACGAUGCACUGUAAAAACAUGAAAUAACGUUAUUAACAUUCACAAUGGCCUUCAGCACCUUCCCGGCUUCCAAAACCAUGGCUUCUUGCUCCUCGCCCCAGCCUCUGCCCUGCCUGCUCCCAGCUGUGAUCUGCCUGCCCCACUCCUGUGGAUGUUUUACAGUAUCCUGGAAAUAAAUAAGGAGCAGAGAUUUAAAAUUAUUUGCAUUUGUUAACCAAAAUUCUACAAAUAUUAAUAAAAUAUGAUAGUAACGACGACUAACUAAACUUCUCAGGACAUGCCCGCUGCACAACAUUUUACCUUAAACGCAAGCUUGAUCAAAGUGGAUCUCAAACAAAACUUGGUCAGGAUCUUGAAACAGGCUUGCCAUAAACACCAGUAGCAACCAGUAAGUGCAUCUGCUCGCAGCGGGCAUCAUUUCUUUCCCAGCCCUCGUGACCGUGCACCCGUGUGGGGCAGGUGGUGGCAUGGAGGGAACCCGCGGGUCACCCAGAUUUUGGUUUCCAAGGCUGGUGAGUUGGCAGUGCUGUGCUCCUCUCGGAAUGUUUGCUGGGAUUUUGUACAAGAUGCCCACAGUCUGUUGAGGAAUCCAUUCUCCAGAAAAAAUAUUUAGAGUGCAAGUCACAGUUUUCCCCUUCAGAAAUUCAGCCAAACACACCGAAUCUACUAACCGCUGACAACAUAGCAGUGGUCAAGAUGUUUAUACUUAAAACAGUCUAUCAGUGAGAAGACAGUCCACAUCUUGCCCCUGUAAUAGAUAUCUAGUAACGAAACAGAAAAGCUAGCUAAGUUCUUUUCUAAAACACAUGCUUUUAGUUUUCUAUUUGAGCUCUAGAAUAUAGGUUAACUGUAGUGCAGGGGAUUUUAAAUGCAAAGUCUAAGCCAUUUGAAUUUUGAAGAGACUUUUACUGAUGCAGGAAAAAAAGGAGGCUUUUUCCUCAUUGGAAAAUAAAACGCAUGUAAAUAAAUACUAAUGCCUUUUUUUUUUUUUUUGGUGAAGAUUUAUGUGAGAUUAAUCCCUUUACAGUCCUGGAGUGUAUUAGGUUUCACUAAUCUACCCUCAGAUUUAUGCGAGAUUGCAGGCACAGGCAGAGAGCGAGAAGCGAGCUCUGCUCAGCCACCAGGCACGCUGCAAGGAGAGGAGAUAAUACGGGUACACGCUGCACCUGAAGCCAGAGAUUUUCUGCCUGCAGUUGCACGAGCACCUGCUUGUGUGAACGAGCCCCUGAAACUGCUUUAAAGGAGACCUUUGCUUAUGUGGCUAGUGUGGCCGGUCACAAAAUGAGAUUUGCACAUGGAAAGAAUUUUACAUGUGAUUUUCAAGACACCUUUUUUUGCAGCCAUUUGACCUGAGAGCUUUGCUUUCCAUGCAAAUGAUCUGUCUGGCUUGCUCAGGCAGCGCUGUUAGCACGUUAUUUGGGUUCCUCUCGCUUUUCCCAAAGCUGUGCAACCAUGGUGUCUUUGAAAAUGAAAGUCUUGCACUUUCUUUCUCAUUGCUGUUUUUUUUUUUCUUCCCUUUUUACCACAUGUUGAUGGUGUUUGAAACCAAGUAGAUAAGCAAAUAAUUCCUGCCUUUUCUGUUUCAGGAAAUGCUCGCCUGAGCUGCCAGUGUGCUCUUAGAGCCCACAGCCUGUGCAGAAUAGAAGAGCUGAGCAGAUGCCAGAAAGGUCUGAGAUAUUUGUGUCUUAGCUUUUCAGCCUGACAGAACAAAUAUCGAUUUACACGGAUUAUUUUCUCAUCAUUUAUUCUUUUAAAGAUGUUUCACUUGAUGUUUACCCUGUGAUUUCCUCAACUUCAAUGUAAGUCAGAAAAGCAAUUAAAAUUUACAGAAUGAAAUAUUUUCAGAGAUGAAGAGAGUUAAUCAAAAACAGCUUGUCACUUGAUGACAGAAAACCUUACUUUUGAAAGUCGUACAAACACGCACCCUGGCCUGCGUUCAAUGUCUUGCCUGCCAUAAAACUGAAAACAUUAAUUAGCAUAAAUUUGUAGUCUAGUUCUGAAAAAAAGCAAAAAAAAAAAAAAA